AUUACAAUUUUUUAAGAAAUUUUUCUAUGUACAGAAACAGGUAACCAUUGUAGAACUCAUGCGGUUCAAGCAGAAGCCGAAUGAGGAGUUGUCAGAUUACGUUGACAGGUUCAGGGCCCAGGCACAGAAGUGCGCAGAGCCGAUUGAAGAAAAGAACUUGGUUAGCAUAUGCAACAAUGGUGCUUUAGACGCCUUCAAGCCCCAC
rnacentral:lncRNA from 1 species